UACGUAGGGACCAAGCGUUGUUCGGAUUUACUGGGCGUAAAGGGCGCGUAGGCGGCGAAUCAAGUCAGCUGUGAAAUCUCCGAGCUUAACUCGGAACGGUCAGCUGAUACUGUUUUGCUAGAGUGCAGAAAGGGCAACCGGAAUUCUUGGUGUAGCGGUGAAAUGCGUAGAUAUCAAGAGGAACACCUGAGGCGAAGGCGGGUUGCUAGGCUGACACUGACGCUGAAGCGCGAAAGCUAGGGUAGCAAACAGG
rnacentral:rRNA from 1 species